rnacentral:rRNA from 1 species
UACGUAGGGGGCAAGCGUUGUCCGGAAUCAUUGGGCGUAAAGAGCGUGUAGGCGGCUCGGUAAGUCCGUUCUGAAAGUCCAGGGCUCAACCCUGGGAUGCGGAUGGAUACUGUCGGGCUCGAGUCCGGAAGAGGCGAGUGGAAUUCCCGGUGUAGCGGUGAAAUGCGCAGAUAUCGGGAGGAACACCAAUGGCGAAGGCAGCUCGCUGGGACGUGACUGGACGCUGAGACGCGAAAGCGUGGGGAGCAAACAGG